rnacentral:rRNA from 1 species
UGAGAAGUCUGACGGAGCACGCCGCGUGAGUGAUGAAGGCCUUCGGGUUGUAAAGCUCUGUUGUCAGGGAAGAACAUGUGCUAGUUGAAUAACCUGGCCCCUGGACGGUCCCUACCCAGAAAGCCACGGUUACAUACUUGCCACCGCCCGCGGUAAUACAA